rnacentral:tRNA from 1 species
UGCGGGAUGGUGUAAUUGGCAACACGCCAGGUUCUGGCCCUGGUAUUCAAGGUUCGAGUCCUUGUCCCGCAG